rnacentral:rRNA from 1 species
GACGAACGCUGGCGGCGUGCCUAAUACAUGCAAGUCGAGCGGAAGUUGGAGAGCUUGCUCUUCAACUUUAGCGGCGGACGGGUGAGUAACACGUGGGCAACCUGCCCUGCAGAUCGGGAUAACUCCGGGAAACCGGUGCUAAUACCGAAUAGUUUUCUCCACCUCCUGGUGGCGUACGGAAAGACGGUGUCGGCUGUCACUGCAGGAUGGGCUCGCGGCGCAUUAGCUAGUUGGUGGGGUAACGGCCCACCAAGGCGGCGAUGCGUAGCCGACCUGAGAGGGUGAUCGGCCACACUGGGACUGAGACACGGCCCAGACUCCUACGGGAAGCAGCAGUAGGGAAUCUUCCGCAAUGGACGAAAGUCUGACGGAGCAACGCCGCGUGAGUGACGAAGGUUUUCGGAUCGUAAAACUCUGUUGUGAGGGAAGAACAAGUACCACUUAACUACUGGUACCUUGACGGUACCUCACCAGAAAGCCACGGCUAACUACGUGCCAGCCGCCGCCGUAAGAC